rnacentral:lncRNA from 1 species
ACUGUGUAGACUGUCACCCCACAAGGGCCGGGGGCUCUGUGUCCCUGGGCCUGUGGAGAUGGUGUCUUAUGCGGCUCCCACAAUGUCCCUCUCACAUUAGCAAUUUUCUCCACUGUUCCCCUUCCAGGUGGGGACCACGUGGAGGAAGCAAGUAUUGUGUUGUACAGCGAAUGUGGCCUUGGAUCAGUUACAGGCAAAUGCGUUAUUCUUACUUUGUUCCAGGAUAAGCGACAUUGCAGGACACUAUUCAUUACAACUUUAUCUGUUUUGUGAUAAUCUGCCUCCCCAACUUCUUCAUUUUCCUUCUCCUUCCCUGUCAUAUCAGCAAUUAAACGAUACUGCAACGGUGAUGCUGCCACUAAUUAAUUUCUCCUCACAUCGAUGGAGACCUUUGGCUAGUGGGGCAUAAUGGAAAAUAAAAAGAAGAUCCCAAAUGCAAGCAUUCCAUCUGUCCCUGAUACGCUGGGAUUUCCUGCAGUCGUGUUUGCUUUUCACCGUCCACUGAAAGAUGUGCAUAAUCUGACAGCCUUGUGAAAAAAAAAAAAUCUCCUAUGGGUCUAUAAAAGAACAUGAAUGAGGAUGUUCAUUCCAGUGUUAUUUGUGGAAAAGAGAGUUGGAAGCAAUUUGAACAUCCUUCACUGAGGAAUGUCAAAUGAAAUGUGGCAGAUGUAUAAUAGGGACACCAUGAAGCAAUCGGAAGCAACUGGAAUGAAUAGCAUGUAAACACAGCAGCACACAUCAACCUCGAAAACAUUGUUUCGUGGGAUGAG